rnacentral:rRNA from 1 species
GACGAACGCUGGCGGCGUGCCUAAUACAUGCAAGUCGAGCGAAUCUUUUGGGAGCUUGCUCCCGAAAGAUUAGCGGCGGACGGGUGAGUAACACGUGGGCAACCUGCCUAUAAGACUGGGAUAACUUCGGGAAACCGGAGCUAAUACCGGAUACGUUCUUUUCUCGCAUGAGAGAAGAUGGAAAGACGGUCUCGGCUGUCACUUAUAGAUGGGCCCGCGGCGCAUUAGCUAGUUGGUGGGGUAAUGGCUCACCAAGGCGACGAUGCGUAGCCGACCUGAGAGGGUGAUCGGCCACACUGGGACUGAGACACGGCCCAGACUCCUACGGGAGGCAGCAGUAGGGAAUCUUCCACAAUGGACGAAAGUCUGACGGAGCAACGCCGCGUGAACGAAGAAGGCCUUCGGGUCGUAAAGUUCUGUUGUUAGGGAAGAACAAGUACCAGAGUAACUGCUGGUACCUUGACGGUACCUAACCAGAAAGCCACGGCUAACUACGUGCCAGCCGCCGCAGUAACAC